CCUACGGGGGGCAGCAGUGGGGAAUAUUGCACAAUGGGGGAAACCCUGAUGCAGCGACGCCGCGUGAGUGAAGAAGUAAUUCGUUAUGUAAAGCUCUAUCAGCAGGGAAGAAAAUGACGGUACCUGAGUAAGAAGCCCCGGCUAACUACGUUCCAGCAGCCGCGGUAAUACGUAGGGGGCAAGCGUUAUCCGGAUGUACUGGGUGUAAAGGGAGCGUAGACGGCAGUGCAAGUCUGGAGUGAAAGGCGGGGGCGCAACCCCCGGACUGCUCUGGAAACUGUACGGCUGGAGUGCAGGAGAGGUAAGUGGAAUUCCGAGUGGAGCGGUGAAAUGCGUAGAUAUUAGGAGGAACACCAGUGGCGAAGGCGGCUUACUGGACUGUAACUGACGUUGAGGCUCGAAAGCGUGGGGAGCAAACAGGAUUAGAUACCCCUGUAGUC
rnacentral:rRNA from 1 species